rnacentral:rRNA from 1 species
GAUCAUGGCUCAGGACGAACGCUGGCGGCGCGCCUAACACAUGCAAGUCGAACGAGAGAGAAGGAGCUUGCUUCUUCGAUCGAGUGGCGAACGGGUGAGUAACGCGCGAGGAACCUGCCUCAAAGAGGGGGGACAACAGUUGGAAACGACUGCUAAUACCGCAUAAGCCCACGGGUCGGCAUCGACCUGAGGGAAAAGGAGCAAUCCGCUUUGAGAUGGCCUCGCGUCCGAUUAG